GUGGGGAAUUUUGCGCAAUGGGCGAAAGCCUGACGCAGCAACGCCGCGUGAGGGAUGACGGCCUUCGGGUUGUAAACCUCUUUCGGCAGGGAAGAAGCCGCAAGGUGACGGUACCUGCAUAAGAAGCCCCGGCUAACUACGUGCCAGCAGCCGCGGUAAUACGUAGGGGGCGAGCGUUGUCCGGAGUUACUGGGCGUAAAGAGCGCGUAGGCGGUCUGCCAAGUCUGAUGUGAAAUUCCUCGGCUCAACCGGGGGACUGCAUUGGAUACUGGCAGACUAGAGUGCAGUAGGGGAGAGUGGAAUUCCUGGUGUAGCGGUGAAAUGCGCAGAGAUCAGGAGGAACACCGGUGGCGAAGGCGGCUCUCUGGGCUGCAACUGACGCUGAGGCGCGAAAGCUAGGGGAGCAAACAGGAUUAGAAACCCGGGUAGUCC
rnacentral:rRNA from 1 species